GCUGAAAUAAAAUAUGGAUAUUCAUAAGUUCUGCCUUAUGAAACACCAAAAGUUCAUUUCCUAAUCGAUUCAUAAGGCUUCUAUGAAACUCAUAAUCUGUAAUAUUAAUUUCAUACAUAUGCCUUAUGAAUCGCAAUACCAUUCCUUAUGCAUAAAAAUCGAAAGAUAAUCUUAUGUCAUUUCAUAUGUUCAUCCAGUUCAUCCACAGAAAAAUAGUUUGUUCGAAUGAAGUGGAGUUCCGGGCUUAUGUGGUGCUGCGUAAUUUGAACGGUGGAAGCUCCAGUGGCAGUUGGGCCAAGAAAACGCGCUCCCGAGAAAAAGUAAAUUCGCGCUAUUUGUUUGUCCUGUUGGUUGCUGCUCAGGAUGUCACCAUUAAUGGCCCGGGAAUCAGCUAUCCUAGUGGAGUUCUCAUCGAGUGGAGUGAAGGCAGACGUUAUCGAAUGCAGUGCCUUGACGUGACGUGGAAUUUCGGGUGUUCGGUGAAAGUGAUCGGUUGUCUUCGUUGGGGAUGAGUACGGUGGUAACGACGAUUUGGUCGGCUUCAUCUUCCUUUCGAGGGGCUGGACCACAGUUGGCGUAAGCCAACGGUGCUAAGCUCCCCCUGGCGGUGCGGCGUCUGACGACGCAAAAUCCCGCAGGUCGCCCGUGUGGUGUAGCCGCACCGGUUAACAAGGGGGGCCCUUCAUCAACGCAAGUUGGUUAGGGCAUUAGCACAGGCAGCCGAUGAAGUCGAUGAAAGUGCACUGUCCGAUUCCAUCCUCGGACGGUGUGUCAGAUGGUAAGUACCGUUCCAAUCUUGAUAAUUUGUUGACCAGGGACUUAUUCUUUUUUUCUUUUUUAGGUGCUGAUUUACCGAUGCCAAAUGUCAGGUGAAGAAUUUCCUGGCAAAACCUUUCUCGGAAGAUGUUGUCUUCGAUUUCAACCAGUCAAGAUCAACAGAAUGAGCUAUAUUUACGUAACGCAUCACAGAGGGGACUCCAGUAGCCUUGCGAGCAGAGGCGUAGGAUUGUCAAUCCGGAGAAGGCAAGUUUGAUUCCCGUUCCGGUCUAGGAUGUUUUCGGAUUGGAAACUUUCUUGACACUCUGGGCAUAGGGUAUUCAUUGUACUUGCCACACAAGAUACUUCUUCUUCUUCUUCUUAUUGGCAUUACAUCCCCACAUUGGGACAGAGUCGCCUCGCUGCUUAAUGUUCAUUAAGCACUUCCACAGUUAUUAACUGCGAGGUUUAUAAGCCAGGUUACCAUUUUUGUAUUCGUAUAUCAUGAGGCUUUUAUUGCCCAGGGAAGUCGAAACAAUUUCCAUUCCGAAAACUGCCUAGACCGGCACGGGGAAUCGAACCCAGCCGUCCUCAGCAUGGUCUUGCUUUGUAGCCGCGCGUCUUACCGCAUGGCCAUGGAGGGCCAUACAAGAUACAUAUCCAUCCAAUGCCGGACAAAGAAAAGCUUUCAAUUAAUAACUGAAAUGCUAAAGGAAUACUAAAUUGUAAAGCAGGCCAAGUUCCAGUUGGAAUGUAGAGCCAUUGAAGAAGAGGAUCGCAAAUAAUAAUAAAUCGCAACAAGGCACGAUCAUCUGUUUGUGCUGUUACACGUCCUGCGAAAUCCUAGCGGGAUCACAAACAGGGCAACCACGCUGGUGCAACUGCCUAUCCAGGGUGACUUACAUUGUUACAUUGGGGCCCUUUGGAGUUUCAGCACAUUCUGGUGGUAAUGGCCCGGCUGCUGUUGCCGAUAAGAAAACCAAACAACUGAUUUUCUGGACAGGACAUGAACUUCGUUCAGAAGGUGAAGUGGGUGAUCAUGGACAGCAAUGGAGAAGACUGUCCCAGAUAUGACUGCAUAUCCGAGUCCAUAUCUCAAGGAGCCGUACUAUUUGGGAAAGUUUUUCGCGCAUUGACGAUGAUUGAUCAGAAGUUGUACGGCAGUCUAUGAUUGGAGGAAGUAUCUCAUCUUCAAGGAAUGCAUCUGUUGAGACCGAUCGCGUUCGGAAAUGUAUGCGUGGAGUUGCAUGGGGACUGGGUUAGUGACACGAUGCAGAUCUAGAUCGACGGUUCGCCGAGAGGUUAGCACGAGCCACACUGUUUUCAACGUGAGUGUUUUGCAUCGGAUAUCGUUGGAGCAGUCGAGGGAAAUCCACGUAGUGGUGCUCAGCUACGAAAGCGCACAAAAUUCGUCGCGCAAUACAUCUUUCGAUCGCGGAAGAUCACUACUUGGCAAUACCUGACAGGGUUUCUUUUCGGUUAACCAUGUACCAGAUAAGGAAUAAAUUAAAUAAAUAAAUAUUUGCUUUCAAAAAUA